UACGUAGGGUGCGAGCGUUAAUCGGAAUUACUGGGCGUAAAGCGUGCGCAGGCGGUUCGUUGUGUCUGCUGUGAAAUCCCCGGGCUCAACCUGGGAAUGGCAGUGGAAACUGGCGAGCUUGAGUGUGGCAGAGGGGGGUGGAAUUCCGCGUGUAGCAGUGAAAUGCGUAGAGAUGCGGAGGAACACCGAUGGCGAAGGCAACCCCCUGGGCUGACACUGACGCUCAGGCACGAAAGCGUGGGGAGCAAGCAGG
rnacentral:rRNA from 1 species